rnacentral:rRNA from 1 species
GAUGAACGCUGGCGGCGUGCCUAAUACAUGCAAGUCGAGCGAACGGACGAGAAGCUUGCUUCUCUGAUGUUAGCGGCGGACGGGUGAGUAACACGUGGAUAACCUACCUAUAAGACUGGGAUAACUUCGGGAAACCGGAGCUAAUACCGGAUAAUAUUUUGAACCGCAUGGUUCAAAAGUGAAAGACGGUCUUGCUGUCACUUAUAGAUGGAUCCGCGCUGCAUUAGCUAGUUGGUAAGGUAACGGCUUACCAAGGCAACGAUGCAUAGCCGACGUGAGAGGGGGAUCGGCCACACUGGAACUGAGACACGGUCCAGACUCCUACGGGAGGCAGCAGUAGGGAAUCUGCCGCAAUGGGCGAAAGCCUGACGGAGCAACGCCGCGUGAGUGAUGAAGGUCUUCGGAUCGUAAAACUCUGUUAUUAGGGAAGAACAUAUGUGUAAGGAACUGUGCACAUCUUGACGGUACCUAAUCAGAAAGCCACGGCUAACUACGUG